CGGAUCUCUCUGUACCUUUCCCUCACAUUUCUCUCGGGCUCUCCUUUGUUUCCUAACCCUAGCCGCACACAACACUCACUCAUCGCAUCAUUCAUCUUCAUCUUCAUCACCUUUGGUAAACAAUGUCAUCACCUUUGGCCUCUUCGUCUCCCCAGUGUAAGCUCUCUCUCUCUCUCUCUCUCUGUAGAUUUGAUGGUUUUUUUGUUCAAGUUUCUGAUUUGGGUUCAUAUCUUUCAUGGGUUUAGACUUUAAUUGGUUCAUAACUUCAUAUCUCUCAUGUUUAAUGUGCUGUAAUGUUUAAUGAGUUUGAAUGUUUAAAUUUCAAUUUUUUCUUUUUUCAGUGAAAUUAUUGAAUCUUCUCAUUAGUUAGAUAUAUAUGGGUUUUCAUUUUGUCUUUUUUUUUUUUUGCUGAAAUUAGUGGGUCUUCUAUUAGAUUAGCUCUUCAAAAUUUGUUUGGGUGCUAACUGUCCUGUGAUGAAGAAAAUGAUUGGGAGAGGGAGAGAGGUGGGUUCUGGUGAUGUGUGGGUGGAAUUUGCAGAAGUUAAAAGAGAAGAUGGGUAUUUGAUUAAUAUAUAUAAGGUGGUGGGGAAGGGAGAAUACGGUUUAAGUUUGUUUUUUCUCAAUUCAUCAUUUUAAUUUUUUUUUUUAAAGACAACUCUUUUUAUACAUUAUUCUAUUUUUUAAAGAUUAUUACGUUUUGAUGUUUGUUGAUAUUUUGAUGAAAAAUAUGUGAUUGUGUUUUUUAUAUAGGUUUUGCUUCUAAUAAUCCAUCAUCUACGGAUGAAUCUGCAAAAAGGGGUUGAAGGCUCUCAAUUGAUUUGUAUUAAUUAGUUGGAUGUUGAAGUUUAUUUCUAUUUGUACCCAAAUCCGGGAUUGUAUUUGAACUUUGUUUUACUGGAAAUUUGGUUAACUUUCCAUAUUUGAUGUAUUGGAGAUUUGGAUUAUAUAAUGAAAAUGUUGAUGUUUGCAGC
rnacentral:lncRNA from 1 species